rnacentral:rRNA from 1 species
GACGAACGCUGGCGGCGCGCCUAACACAUGCAAGUCGAACGAGCGAGAGAGAGCUUGCUUUCUCGAGCGAGUGGCGAACGGGUGAGUAACGCGUGAGGAAUCUGCCUCAAAGAGGGGGGCAACAGUUGGAAACGACUGCUAAUACCGCAUAAGCCCACGGUGCCGCAUGGCACAGAGGGAAAAGGAGUAAUCCGCUUUGAGAUGGCCUCGCGUCCGAUUAGCUAGUUGGUGAGGUAACGGCCCACCAAGGCGACGAUCGGUAGCCGGACUGAGAGGUUGAACGGCCACAUUGGGACUGAGACACGGCCCAGACUCCUACGGGAGGCAGCAGUGGGGAAUAUUGCACAAUGGGGGAAACCCUGAUGCAGCGACGCCGCGUGGAGGAAGAAGGUCUUCGGAUUGUAAACUCCUGUUGUUGGGGAAGAUAAUGACGGUACCCAACAAGGAAGUGACGGCUAACUACGUGCCAGCAGCCGCGGUAAAACGUAGGUCACAAGCGUUGUCCGGAAUUACUGGGUGUAAAGGGAGCGCAGGCGGGAAGACAAGUUGGAAGUGAAAUCUAUGGGCUCAACCCAUAAACUGCUUUCAAAACUGUUUUUCUUGAGUAGUGCAGAGGUAGGCGGAAUUCCCGGUGUAGCGGUGGAAUGCGUAGAUAUCGGGAGGAACACCAGUGGCGAAGGCGGCCUACUGGGCACCAACUGACGCUGAGGC